rnacentral:lncRNA from 1 species
CUACUGAGAGCUGGACUUACUCAAUUACUUUAUAUAUUUGCUGAGAAGUGGGGAGAUGUUGUGACUCAAGUGCAAGAGUUGACUCUUUGCUGUGGAAAACAUUCUGAUGAUUGGCAUCAAGCGGUUGGUGGGUAUGAGAGGUUCAGCAUUGCCGUCUCAGGCAGCAGAUAACGGCCACAUUUUGUAACCCUCACCUUCAAGAACUCAGGCGCUUUGUAAAUGCUGAGGUUAUGAAGGUAAAGUAAAGGGCUUGCUUAAGGUUACAGUAGUUCUUUUCAUUUUGUUAUAUUAAACAGGUUCUUGUUUGUGAAAAGUCAGAGAACACUGUGUUCAUACUAAUCUGCUUCAGGGCAGACAGUAUCUGUUUUUAUAAUAGUUCUAGAAACAUUUAUUUAAAGCAUAUCAUAUACCUGCAUAUGUACUUCUAGGCCCUAUCAUUUUCAAUGUAUUUAGCUCAUUUACAAAUGCAUAUUGGAUAAGUUAUUUUGCCAAUUUUUAUAGAUUAACUACUUUGUCUGAAUUUGACAUUUGACAACAAGGAUAAAAGUCAUUUCCUUCAUCCCUAUUAGCAUGACCUGAAGGUCCACUUUAUUUCCCUCUGUUAAACAGCUCUAAUCUGGGUACACAGAGCCAGCAAGAGUAAGAAAACCAACUCUUUCUAAGUGUGGCCUAGAUCUGUAUGUUUACAACAAUUUAAACAUUGAUUAUAGCUAUGUUUAUGAAAUUGAUCCAAAUAAAUUAUAGUAUAUGAAUUUGAGUGUGAUGAUGAUUAUAUUGUAUUAUUUACAUCUCAGUGGCUGAGACCGUUUUCUCCGAUGUGGUAUUUGCUUAAAGUAAUUAUCCUGACUGAGAACAGUGGCAGAUUGAAAUUAAAUGUUUGGAUUAAAUAUUUUGUCAGCAAACAUGGAGCAACUGCCUCACUGCUGCUGCCUCUCUUCUGUGCAUACUGAUUAAAAAUGAUUACCAAAUGAUUAGCUUUUAUUUUGGCACAGUUUUAAAAUACUCAGAUAAAUGAUGCUUGAUAUCCAGUCUUCUACUCAUUUAAAUCAUUGGGAUCAUGGAAGGAAAUGGUGCAAACAAAUUCAUGGCAGCAUUUAACUUCUAACACAGAGACCUCAGUCAAGUGAAUAAAACUGGCCAAGUCUAGAAAUAAUCUGUGUUUCAUGAGGUCUGAACUUGGGUUAAAUAUAAACUCUUUCAGGUGUGCUCCAUCCUGGCAGGUAGGGAGAAAAAGUAUCACUUUAUACUGAAAGAAGAAAUAUAUGAAGCUAUAUUUAAGAGAGACUCUGUGGUUCCUUGGGUAUUGAUCCCCUCUUGCAAAGCAGUAGUUUAAUGCACUAAAUGGGAGCAAAUAAGAACAUAUGGCUUGAAUCUACUCUGAAAUAUGAAUGUAUUUUUAAUAAUAGGCAUAGAAGUUAGUUGACAAGGUACUUUAAAUUUUGCCUUUCAUAAUCAAACCAUUAGGAAUGAUAUUUAAAUAAGGCAAGAAUAUGAUACAUCUUGCAAUCCUCUAGUGUGUGCUUGCUUGGAUUUUGGCCAAGGACUGGAAAGUGUACAGCUGUAUUUAAAAUAACUCAAGGGACUGAACAUAGGCCAAGAUAUCAACAGAAAAAUAAUUCAGUUCUUUUUCCUUCAAUGAAUACAUAUCACAAAAAAUGUCAAAAUCUCUUGACAGGAAACACUAUAAAUGUUCUAAAGUAAUAACAAGUUCACAAAAAGUAUCAAAUGCUCUAUUUACCCAUGUUUGGGCUAAUUUAAAUUGAUAAUGCUACUCCAAUUUCAGAUGGAAUUUCACUCUCACUGACAAUAAAUCAAAAGAGAAAUUAAAUGGUCUUAUAACGUGUUACAGUUUGAGUAUGAAUUAGAUCCCCCCCCCCAACUCCACCCCUGCUUUGGGUUAAUUUGUUUGAACACUUGAUCCUCAGCAAGUGAUGUUUUUGUUGUUGUUGUUGUUGUUGUUUUUUGUUUCUUUCUUUCUUUGUUUUUUAUAGGACGUAGAAUCCUUUGUAGGUGUAUUCUUACUUGAGAAAGCAGGUCAGUACUGGUUGGUUUGAGGUUUGACCUGCAACCCCACUUCCUGUCUACUCCCUGAUUUAUGAUUGCAGGCAUUGUAACCAGCUGCCUCACCUUCCUGCUAUGAAUCCUUUCCUAACAAGUGGACUGUAUCCUUCAGACUGUAAGCCAAAAGAAACCCUUCCCCCAUCAAAUUGCUUCUCAAAUUGCUUCUUGUCAGGAAUUUUUGUCAUAGCAUACAGAAAGGGUAAUUAAUAUACUAGAUCACUUCAGCAUAUACUCUCCUUCUAUGAUAAUGCAAAUGAUAAAAAACCCAACUUUAAGAUGUCUCAAGCAAAUGAUUUUCUUCACCAGGGCAUGGCAUGUAAAUGACAAAUUCGAAGAUGUGAGACAGGCAUAUAUUGGGUUCAUGCAUAUGGUAUCCAUGUACAUGCUCCAAUUCAAAUAAGAAUAUUCAUUGCAGUGUCUUAUUUUCUGUAUUUCUUUCACAAGCUAUUAUAAAAUUAAUACCCCAUUAACAGGCAAGGCAUUUCUCAAAGGUUCGAUUUGAUAUAUAAUAAUAGAAUAGGCAUAGGAAAAGAAAACUGUAUUUGAUGGGAAAAGAAAAUUGAAUAAAAGAUGUUUUUCUAUUUUAAUCCAAUUCUAGACAACUUUCUAGCACAUCUGAAGUACCCAUUGCUAGAUCUUAUGGUCCUAAGGUACACUGCUGUUGAGUUUAUAUUUGGAUACACUGCUACUACUAAUUAUUUUAGGCACAAUAACAAAAUAAGAAAAUAUGGUGAUCUGGAAAAAAUAAGGCCCUGAUAGACUCAUGCAUUUGAAUGGUUGGCCCAUAGUGAGUGGCACUAUUAAGAGAUGUAGCCUUGUUGGAGCAAUUGUGUAACUGUGGAGAUGGACUUUGAAGUCUCAUAUGCUCAAGAUAUACCCAGUGCAGUAUAGCUCAUAGUCUUUAUUAUUGGACUGUCUUGACCCACCAGCCCCUCAAGAAAUGACAUAGAGAUCUUUUAUUAAUUAUGAAUGCUUAAGGCUUGUAGCUUAGACUUAUUUGUAGCUAAUUCAUAUAAUCUAAAUUAGUCUACUUAUACUAAUCUAUGUUCUGCUACAUGGCUCAUUACCUAUCCUUUCCUGCCUAGCUAUUGGCAGUUCAACUCAUUAUUAAGCCAAUCAGAUGGUGCCUAAGGCAGGUACAGGGGAACAGCUUCACACAGUGUAACAAAAGAGUAUCCUAAGACUCUCUUUCUGUUGCCUGCAAAUAAAGAUGU